CUUGUCCUCACUUGUAAGUCGCUUUGGAUAAAAGCGUCUGCUAAAUGACUAAAU
rfam:Danio rerio chromosome 14 genomic contig CTG1748, GRCz11 reference primary assembly.